GGUAUCAUGGCCGAGAGCCAAGCGGCGAGUUGUAGCCUCGAUAGAGGGACCGGGUUAGGAAGGUCCUGUUACCA
rnacentral:tRNA from 1 species